rnacentral:misc_RNA from 1 species
GAUGAAGAACGUAGCGAAAUGUGAUACGUAAUGUGAAUUGCAGAAUUCAGUGAAUCAUCGAAUCUUUGAACGCAUAUUGCGCUCUCUGGUAUUCCGGAGAGCAUGCUUGUUUGAGUAUCAGUAAACACCUCAACUUCCAUAUCUUUUUUGAAAUGGGAGUUGGACUUGAGUGAUCCCAACGCUUUUCCUCACCGAAAAGUGGCGGGUUACUUGAAAUGCAGGUGCAGCUGGACUUUUCUCUGAGCUAUAAGCAUAUCUAUUUAGUCUGCCUAAAAAACAGAUUAUUACCUUUGCUGCAGCUAACAUAAAGGAGAUUAGUUCUUGUGCUGACUGAUGCAGGAUUCACAAAGACAGCUUCGGCCGACUUUGUAAACUCGAUCUCAAAUCAAGUAAGACUACCCGCUGAACUUAAGCAUAUCAAUAAGCGGAGGA